rnacentral:lncRNA from 1 species
CUCGCAGUGUGCCAAAUAUACUAGGGAAAUUCGGUCUGUUAAAAACACCAAUGAGAAGACCUUUGAGGAACGUGACAUAGAGCUACGAGAACUUAGAGACUUAAAUAAAAGCGUAAAUAAGAUGCUCCUGGAAACUAUGGAGGAGAAUCCUGACCUGUCAUCUGCAUUGCAGAUACGUUUUAUGCAGGCUGGUCUGUCCCUGACCUCGCCCGCUUCCACUCCAUCCAGCCGUCUGAGCUCAAAGAUCAACUCAGCCCGCAGUUCUGCUUCACUCCAUCGACCCUUAAAUCCAUCAGCCAGCAGCAGUCCUAGAAGCCAAUCUGUCACGUCCCCCGCAGUGAAGACAGUGGACCUGGGUUUGGGCCUCUCCGUCACGUCCCCGCAAGGAUCUCGGCCACCCAGCACUGGCAGCAGCAGCAGGAGCAGCAAGUGCAAAAGCCCUUAGACAGAACCAGACGCCAGUCUCUUUGAAGACCAGAGAAGUCAUGUAUAAUUAUACCACUAC